rnacentral:tRNA from 4 species
GGGUAUAGUUUAAAGGUAGAACGAAGGUCUCCAAAACCUUUGGUGUGGGUUCGAUUCCUACUACCC